AGCUUUGUGCAUUGACACUGUCGUAGCCAAUGAGGUUUAUCCAAGGCACAAUUAUUGCUAAUUGAAAUAAGUAAAUCUAUGUAAAUGUAUAAAGGCACUUUAGAUCCUCUUCUUCAUUAUUAUUUUAUAGCUGCAUAGU